rnacentral:rRNA from 1 species
GUGGGGAAUUUUGGACAAUGGGCGCAAGCCUGAUCCAGCAAUGCCGCGUGUGUGAAGAAGGUCUUCGGAUUGUAAAGCACUUUAAGUUGGGAGGAAGGGCAGUAAGUUAAUACCUUGCUGUUUUGACGUUACCAACAGAAUAAGCACCGGCUAACUUCGUGCCAGCAGCCGCGGUAAUACGAAGGGUGCAAGCGUUAAUCGGAAUUACUGGGCGUAAAGCGCGCGUAGGUGGUUCAGCAAGUUGAGGGUGAAAUCCCCGGGCUCAACCUGGGAACGGCCUCCAAAACUACUGAGCUAGAGUACGGUAGAGGGUAGUGGAAUUUCCUGUGUAGCGGUGAAAUGCGUAGAUAUAGGAAGGAACACCAGUGGCGAAGGCGACUACCUGGACUGAUACUGACACUGAGGUGCGAAAGCGUGGGGAGCAAACAGGAUUAGAUACCCCAGUAGUCC